GGCAGUUCCUUUGACUUGUGUCACCCUUGGGAACGGCAUCAGUGACAAAUAAUUGUACAAGUAUGCCGAUCCGACGUCAUGGCAAGUAACCACCAGCACCAAAAAUUGGCCAAGUACACUAGUCGUGGGAAUGCGGCUUAAUAGGUAUACCUACAUAAAAUUUAAAUAGAAUCAAUUUUACGUCAAACAAAUUAUGUGCAUCACAUAAUACAAUUAAUUAGUUACUACUGACUGUAUAAGGAUUCAACAUAUUUAAAUAAAAUAGACUACAUCACUAAAAUAGAAGAUUUAAAGAUUUAUACUGUAGCCGAUAGUCUUCGAGGAGGGAAUGAUAUAUUGAUUACCAAAAGUACAUUACUGCUUAUAG